rnacentral:rRNA from 1 species
UACGGAGGGGGCUAGCGUUGUUCGGAAUUACUGGGCGUAAAGCGCACGUAGGCGGCUUUGUAAGUUAGAGGUGAAAGCCCGGGGCUCAACUCCGGAAUUGCCUUUAAGACUGCAUCGCUCGAAUUGUGGAGAGGUAAGUGGAAUUCCCAGUGUAGCGGUGAAAUGCGUAGAUAUUGGGAGGAACACCAGUGGCGAAGGCGGCUCACUGGACCGGUACUGACGCUGAUGCGCGAAAGCGUGGGGAGCAAACAGG